UACCCAAUGAAAACAGUUUCGAGGUAGUGACGAGAAAUAACAAUACAGGGCAUUUUAUGCUCUGUAAUUGGAAUGAUGGGAAUGUAAAACCCUUUCAGAGUAACAAUUGGAGGGCAAGUCUGGUGCCAGCAGCCGCGGUAAUUCCAGCUCCAAUAGUGUAUAUUAGAGUUGUUGCAGUUAAAAAGCUCGUAGUUGGAUUUCUGUCGUGGUCAUCCGGUUCCGCCUGUAUGGGUGCGAGCCUGGUUUGCCCUCGGCUUUCUUCUGGUAGCCUUCCGCGCUUCACUGCGUGUGUUGGUGUUCCGGAACUUUUACUUUGAGAAAAAUAGAGUGUUUCAAGCAGGCUUGUCGCCCUGAAUACUUCAGCAUGGAAUAAUAAGAUAGGACCUUGGUUCUAUUUUGUUGGUUUCUAGGACCAAGGUAAUGAUUAAUAGGGACAGUUGGGGGCAUUCGUAUUUAACUGUCAGAGGUGAAAUUCUUAGAUUUGUUAAAGACGAACUACUGCGAAAGCAUUUGCCAAGGAUGUUUUCAUUAAUCAAGAACGACAGUAGGGGGUUUGAAGACG
rnacentral:rRNA from 1 species